UCUCUUGCACAUAUUACAAGUGUAAGCAAGUACACAGAUACAGAUUAGAUAGGAAAAUCUUCUCACUGCCCUGACACUUGCAGGAAGCACUGUGAAGGUUCACACAUGGUGUCCCCUGGAGACCUUUGCAAGCCAGAGAAUGCCUAGAGGAGAUGAAGAGGGGAACAGAGAGCUCCUUGCUACCCUCCAGCUGAGAUCCCCAUGGCAACAUGGUUGAAAACAAUGAGAAAACAACCACUUUCUACCCUAAAUUGCAGCAGCAGACCUCCAGCAAAGCUUUGAGUUGGUUUAAAUUGCAAGAGUGAGCUGCAACUUGGCUCACCAGGGCCACCUGUCCCUGCUCCCUCCUGGACAGUGACCUGUCAUCCCACAGCACAGCCACUGCCUCCCGGGACGAGCACAAACGGUGCAAACAGGGAGGAGAAAAGGCUUGGAGUUCACUGCUGAGUGUUUAUUUGCAACAUGCUGUUGUGUUUGGAGAGAGUUCCAGGCAGGAUGUGUCUGCAGUAAACACAGGAAAAGGGCUGACGCUGGAGGCCCGUGGAAAGGCUGGCAGAAGUCUCAAGUUUAAUUAAAAUGGCCCCUCUUGGGGUAGCAUGUGACUCCUGAACAAUGGCUGAUAAAGCCAGGCCAGCUGCCAAGGGCCCAUUUCUCUGGGUGCUCUGGAGGUGCCUUGGCCUCUUGAAUUUUCUUUCUAGGAAUGGCCCAAAGGGACACCAGCUACAAACACACACAUGGAUUUAAAAACUGAAACAUCUGAUAAUGUUCUUCAACCUCAAAACCAAGUGUGUGUCUGAGAUAGAGACAAAGCCUGAGUUGUGCAGAGAGAGUUGUGCACAAGCCUCUCUGGAUUGCAAUCAUCCUGGACAGGGAGUAAGAGGGAUGUUAGAGAAGAACCAGGCUGCUAGGCCAGGCCCUGAGAUGUCACGGUUUCCAUGCUCAAAAUGGCUGAAGGACGGUGGAUGGAUUUUCCAUAGAGCACUGCCCCCUGCUGUGGGCUCACCAUUCCCACACGUUUCACUCCUCACAAAACCUCCGGGUAGGAAAAAUCUGCAAAAUCAUGGUGGCCUCACGAAAUUCUGGGUCAUUCGCUGCCUGUGUGUCAGCUCGAUGUCCUGAGUGUCUACCACAGAGCAGAGGCUUCCUCAGAACAUGAGGAAGAAGUAAUUCCGACAAAAUUACUCAAAAUGUUCAUUAACAACUGGAUGCAGGACUGGAAGGAAUACUGAAUUGGGAAUACUAAAUUGGGAGGAGCUGUUGACUCCCCCGAGGGCAGGGAGGCCCUGCAGAGAGACCUCGACAAGUUAGAGAUGGGCAAUCACCAACUGCACGAAGUUUAACAAGGGCAAGUGCUGGAUUCUGCACCUGAGACAGAGCAACCCUGGCUGUGUCCAGACUGAGCAUUUGCCAGGAAUAAUGUGUAAAGCUCAGGGUAAGUGUGGUAGCUCACAAAUGUGAUUCCUGGUAACUUGAUCUGCUGUUGAGUGAGUGGUCUGCCUGCAGCUGUGCUGCUGGAUGGAGGGCUUUUUACGGUGGAUAAUGUGUUUCGAAGGAGAAAGAGAAGAAGGAGGAAGACCAGCAUCACCCUAUGGAGGUCUCAUUUCUGGUAGAUGAGCGUGGUAGCUAAAGACUCAGCCUUUCACCUGCUGAAGUCCAUCACAGCUUUGCCCUUGUCUUCAGCAGAAGCUGGAAGCAACUUUCAGUUAAAGAACGAAGAGAACAGAUAGAGGAAUGAAAUAAAAUCCUGCUAGAAUCCAUGCUGCAGGAGGAAAAGCUGGUAUUUUUAUAAAGAGGAUACAGGGAGCACAGGAAAUUUUGGAAACUGCAUGGAUUUUAGAUUAAAUGAGCUUAGUGUACAUUUCCUCUGAAUAAACCAUGAAAUAUCUUGUCAAAAGUCUACCCUACAGUAGAUUGUAAAGUAUUACAUGGCAGAUUAUAAAAUGACUAGUGGGAGAAUACCUUGAUUGGCAGAUAAGAAGAGGUGGCUGCUGUAGUGAGAUUCACAGAACGAAGCCCCGGGGCACUGCUACCUACAAAGAGCAAUUCCACCCACACCACAAAGACAAGGCUGCAAGCAAAGGAAAGGGAGAGGAGAGUUUCUUACCUGGCUGUAAUUGGGACCUUGGGGAAGCAGAGAUGGAGAUGGCUCUGAGAGAGAUUUUUAAUUUUUAGCCAGGAAGAAGGCUUUUUUGGUUGACAUUCAUACUUGGAAAACCCGUUGGUGUUGGUGAACUGCCAAAUACCCAGAGAACCAUUGCAUCAUUCCAUGCUGGUUUGGGAGACACAAGGUUGGAUUCUGCAACCAGGUGUCUUAUUCCUUACGUCAGCAACUCCCAGCAAAAGGCUGAACAUUUAUCUUUGUAGUGACAUCGGUGGCUGAGCUAGGAACUGAAAUAGCAGCUACUGAGUAACUGCUCUGCUGGCCUGGAAAAGUCACCAAGGUAGUGCAGUGUAAGGUGUAUUUCUGCAUUCUUCAUCCACUUUUCAGUCUGAGACAGCCAAAAGAAAAGAUUUGGGACUUUUUUUUACCCCUCCCACUUCCGUUUGUUUUUGAUGUGGCUCAAUGUUGUCAUUAAAUUAAAUGUAUCCAGGCUAUGGGAGAGUGAAUUUAUGCAGGGAUUAAAAUAGGCUAACAUUAUGCCAUUGAAAAAUUCCUUAGCUUGCUACUGAAUGAAAGCUCAGUGCUGACCUGCACAAGUAUUUCUGCCCAGGAACAAAAACAGGUCUAAAAGACAGAACUGAGAAGACAGCUGGCAGGAUGAAAUGAAGAAAGAGAAUGUCAGCUGCCUCUCCAGGGACCAGGCCUCUUUGAAAUGAGCCCUGCCAGACAAAAUAGAAGUCUUGUUGCUGGGCUCUAGCAAAAUGCUAGCAAAGGCCAGAUCUGGUAAGCCCCAGGGCUGGGGUAUAUCAGUGUGUGAUUAGUGGUAGGGGUGGAAAUGUGAAUGCUCCAAUUCAGCAUUAAUGCUCACUGCUCUCUGCUCCUCAGCACACCCAAGAGAAAAUAAAUGAGUUUGCCCUGGCUCCAGGACUGGGACCCAUCAAUGCUGAGGGCAAUUCCUGGUGUCUCCCUUGUGCCAACCUCCUGCAAAAGUACCAGGGGCAAGGAACUGUGCCCAGUGAGUCAGGAAGAUGCACAGGGAGACCCAGCAUGGCUGUUCUCCCAGUGCCAGGAUCAGGUUUAAAUAGGGUUUCACACUAAGAAGCCACUCCAUCAGCUGGUCUAGGUGGACUUCACAUGAGCUGAGGAUCUUCUUGAAAUGCCACCAAAGAAGAGAAAGGUUUUUGCUUUCUCAUACUGGUAUAACUGAAAUCUCAAGGCCAGAAGGGUUUUGGACAGAAGGAAGGGCUGUAACCAACCUCUGGCCAUAAUUAAUUCAAGACAGCUGUUCAGACAGGGCAUUGGCACUUUUUGUCCUGCCAUAAUUAUUUUUUGCAAGAUGUUGUUUUGAUGCAUCCUGGAAACAAACUGUAUAGGAAGUUCACUGUUAUAAGAUUCAUGCUGCUAGCCAUAAGGGUCCAUACCGUGUCUGCUACACAGGACAGAUUAAUAAUAAACCUGUACUUACUUCUGUAUGGACAAGAAUAAAUAUUCAUCCCACUAGCUGGUAAAUCCCAUUUCAACUACUGUAUAUAGUUAUAUGACUAAUUCCCUUAGUGCAUAAAUUGUUCUGGUAUAACGAGUAUAUCUAUUUUAGACAAGAAGAUUCAUUUAAUUUAUCUACAUGAGUAGCUAUCCCAAUACAGAUGUAUUUAUACCAGCACAUCUGCAAGAGAGCAGACCUACCCCACUCAAAAGGAGUUUUGCCAUGUUAAUUGUGUGCACAGCUCAGCCUGAGGCACCUUCCAGUCAGCAGAAGCUGUCAGAGGAAAUACAGUCUGCUAUAACACGUGCUCCUCUGCAAGACCUGAAGUGCCAAUCAAGCAUGUGCUACUUGGACUGGGAAAAUGGUUUAAGAAGUUUGCCAGGAUGAAUGGAGCUUAAUAUCAGUUGAGUGAAAAGAAAAUCAAUAGGAGCCCAUUUCCCUGCAAGGCCAGCUCUUUUUCCAGCCUAUUACUCAUGUCAGGAAAAAUGUGUCUUUCUGAAUAAUCUUCAUUUGAGUGCCAUGUCACACAGAAAUUCACGAGGCAAAUAUCAAAUUCAAGGAGCAAGAGCCACUGGAUAAGAGACUUUAUACUCUCUGCGAAUGUCCCAGUAGUGUGCAGACAAUACCUUUGCUUUUUUAAAUGGGAAUAAAUUGUUGCAGAUUCAGGGCCAAAGUUAUUGCUAGUGCAAACUAAGCAACUCUUCACUGACUUGCAAUAAUAACUUGCAAUAAAAUAUGGCAGGAACAAAUCAGACCUAAAUCCAGCCUGGAAAAUAUGGAACAGUCAACACGGUUUUUUGCAAACCUGGUGAUUGGGGUGGUUGGAGCAAUGGCUUGCUCUGCAGAGAGGAGCUGAGACGUGAUGCUUAGAGCUGUAGGCUCAGUUAUUUAUGAAUCCUUAGGAGAUUGGUGGGGAUCCUUGUCAAAACCUGAUAAUGCAUUGAAAACAUGAGAAAGGAGCUCAUUAUACAAAUAAGGAGCUGUGCUUAUUCCCCAGUGCCAGCAGGACCUCACCUGUAAAAGCCUCUAAAUGCUUUCCCUGCCUCCACGAGGUGAUGAUCAUGGAGCAAGGCACGGAUACUGAGCUGGGGACUAAUGCCACCUGUGGAAUUACCUGUGCCAGUGUGCAGUGCAGGUGCAUGGACUGAUUCCACGGCUGUGCAGCCCUGCCAUGCCUGGCCUGCAAGAGUUAGUGAGACACUGAAUGACAGCGAGCACAAGAGGGGCAGGGGACCCUGUGGGACAGAAAUGCCAUCCCUGUGACAGCUGUCUGUGGCAAGCAAGAGAGCUGCCCAGCCAGGCGUGUCAGCUCGAGGGAAACAAAGGUGAACACAAGCAGGAGGGGAGGAGGGAUGUCGAGGCAUGGUCUGACUGAUCUAGCACUGCUAUUAAAGUGCAAAUUUAAACAGCAGAUGGAUAUACGCAUUUAUAGACAGAGUGCAUAGCUGGUAACUGCCUGGGUUUGGCUGGUACAUCUCUGUGUGAGAAGCAGAAGAUGAGCCCAGACAAUUAUACCUUGAAGAGAGCCCUCCAGGUAAGACUUUCAGUUAUGCACUACUCAAUUCCAGUCACAACUAGCAUCCAGUUGCCUGAAAUUCCAGCGGGACAUCAAACUCCUCCUGACACAUGCUCAUCUUGCCCAAAGCUUCAGUGGUUGCCAUGUCUUGCACUCCCAGUGACAUUUCCUUGCCCAGAAGCACCCGCUGCCCAGUGAGGGACCAGAAUUGCCAGCAGCACUACCUGAAGCUACCCGUUUUUCCAUGACUGAUUUUGUUCCUUAUACUCAGAAUGCCCUUUUAUUUACAAAGGGAAGAAGAAAGAAUGUUUGCUCCACAGCCCAGGGAAAUGCUGCAGUCAGGUCAUACAUCACUGCAUAAGAAAGUCAAAUAAUUAUUCCCCUGACAGAGGUGUGACACUUUUUGCAGAAGUGUUCUACACUUAGUUAUUAUGCCCAAGGCAUCACACUUUCCCAGGGAUAACAUAUGGCAGCAUAUUUAUCCCAGGGCUUGUAGGGCUCCAUGUUAUUCUUCAUAACUCACAGGUAUGAAAUUUGUCCUUGUGACCUCGUGACAUUUCAAGACAGCACAAAAUCAAUAAAGCACAUUGAAUCAUCAGCCAGCUUCAAAAACUAACCCAGCUGCAAGCAUCUUUGUAACAGCGACAGAUGAGCAUUGCUAUUAAACAGUCAGAAGUGUCAUUUGUCCCCAACCUGCUCCACUGCUUUGGUCUUUGGGGUAUUUCGGAGCAAUUCCUUUCCAUCGUGUCAUUUAAGCAGUAAAGGGGAAUCUUUUAUAAGCUGAGAAAGGGCUGCGGCAGCAGCUGACAUGAUUUAUGUUUAAUAAAGGCCCUUUUAGCGCCAGGAAAGAGGGGCCCUGCCAAAUCUCAGGCGUCUCUCGAGCCGCUGCUAUUGUCCCUGGGGCAGGAGCACUUUUGAGGUUCCCUCUCCAUCCCUGUGAACAAAGGGACAGCUGUACGCUUGGCUGGCUCGGGACGGGGCGCUUUGUGCGCGAUUAGCACCCCGCGCACAUCAUUCACGGCUCCUGAAUAAAGAUGACCUCUCGCAGGACGGGACGAGGGCAAAAAAGCCUCUUUAUUCAGCAGGGCUUGAAUUAGCAUAAGGACAAGGAAACCGUUCCUUGGAAGUCACAGGAUGAGCUAGAUACAUAAACAAGCAAACUACAGGUUCCCUGCAAACAGUCGGUGUGCAGGAGCUGGGCCGGGAGCUGUAAAUCCAUGGGGAUUGUCCCCACUGGCUCCCUUCGUGUGCCACCCCUGGCUCACCUGCAGCUGGGGAACAGCUUCGCCACUGUGGCCCUAAGGAGGACAAAUGAACGUGAGCUGAUUUUCAGCACCUU